rnacentral:rRNA from 1 species
GAGCUCGUAGGCGGUUUGUCGCGUCUGCUGUGAAAGCCCGGGGCUCAACCCCGGGUCUGCAGUGGGUACGGGCAGACUAGAGUGCAGUAGGGGAGACUGGAAUUCCUGGUGUAGCGGUGAAAUGCGCAGAUAUCAGGAGGAACACCGAUGGCGAAGGCAGGUCUCUGGGCUGUUACUGACGCUGAGGAGCGAAAGCAUGGGGAGCGAACAGGAUUAGAUACCCUGGUAGUCCAUGCCGUAAACGUUGGGCACUAGGUGUGGGGGACAUUCCACGUUUUCCGCGCCGUAGCUAACGCAUUAAGUGCCCCGCCUGGGGAGUACGGCCGCAAGGCUAAAACUCAAAGGAAUUGACGGGGGCCCGCACAAGCGGCGGAGCAUGCGGAUUAAUUCGAUGCAACGCGAAGAACCUUACCAAGGCUUGACAUUCACCGGACCGCCCCAGAGAUGGGGUUUCCCUUCGGGGCUGGUGGACAGGUGGUGCAUGGUUGUCGUCAGCUCGUGUCGUGAGAUGUUGGGUUAAGUCCCGCAACGAGCGCAACCCUCGUUCUAUGUUGCCAGCACGUGAUGGUGGGGACUCAUAGGAGACUGCCGGGGUCAACUCGGAGGAAGGUGGGGAUGACGUCAAAUCAUCAUGCCCCUUAUGUCUUGGGCUUCACGCAUGCUACAAUGGCCGGUACAAAGGGUUGCGAUACUGUGAGGUGGAGCUAAUCCCAAAAAGCCGGUCUCAGUUCGGAUUGAGGUCUGCAACUCGACCUCAUGAA